rnacentral:rRNA from 1 species
AAAUUGAAGAGUUUGAUCAUGGCUCAGAUUGAACGCUGGCGGCAGGCCUAACACAUGCAAGUCGAGCGGUAGCACAGAGAGCUUGCUCUCGGGUGACGAGCGGCGGACGGGUGAGUAAUGUCUGGGAAACUGCCUGAUGGAGGGGGAUAACUACUGGAAACGGUAGCUAAUACCGCAUAACGUCGCAAGACCAAAGUGGGGGACCUUCGGGCCUCAUGCCAUCAGAUGUGCCCAGAUGGGAUUAGCUAGUAGGUGGGGUAAUGGCUCACCUAGGCGACGAUCCCUAGCUGGUCUGAGAGGAUGACCAGCCACACUGGAACUGAGACACGGUCCAGACUCCUACGGGAGGCAGCAGUGGGGAAUAUUGCACAAUGGGCGCAAGCCUGAUGCAGCCAUGCCGCGUGUGUGAAGAAGGCCUUCGGGUUGUAAAGCACUUUCAGCGGGGAGGAAGGCGUUAAGGUUAAUAACCUCAUCGAUUGACGUUACCCGCAGAAGAAGCACCGGCUAACUCCGUGCCAGCAGCCGCGGUAAUACGGAGGGUGCAAGCGUUAAUCGGAAUUACUGGGCGUAAAGCGCACGCAGGCGGUCUGUCAAGUCGGAUGUGAAAUCCCCGGGCUCAACCUGGGAACUGCAUUCGAAACUGGCAGGCUAGAGUCUUGUAGAGGGGGGUAGAAUUCCAGGUGUAGCGGUGAAAUGCGUAGAGAUCUGGAGGAAUACCGGUGGCGAAGGCGGCCCCCUGGACAAAGACUGACGCUCAGGUGCGAAAGCGUGGGGAGCAAACAGGAUUAGAUACCCUGGUAGUCCACGCCGUAAACGAUGUCGAUUUGGAGGUUGUGCCCUUGAGGCGUGGCUUCCGGAGCUAACGCGUUAAAUCGACCGCCUGGGGAGUACGGCCGCAAGGUUAAAACUCAAAUGAAUUGACGGGGGCCCGCACAAGCGGUGGAGCAUGUGGUUUAAUUCGAUGCAACGCGAAGAACCUUACCUGGUCUUGACAUCCACAGAACUUUCCAGAGAUGGAUUGGUGCCUUCGGGAACUGUGAGACAGGUGCUGCAUGGCUGUCGUCAGCUCGUGUUGUGAAAUGUUGGGUUAAGUCCCGCAACGAGCGCAACCCUUAUCCUUUGUUGCCAGCGGUUAGGCCGGGAACUCAAAGGAGACUGCCAGUGAUAAACUGGAGGAAGGUGGGGAUGACGUCAAGUCAUCAUGGCCCUUACGACCAGGGCUACACACGUGCUACAAUGGCAUAUACAAAGAGAAGCGACCUCGCGAGAGCAAGCGGACCUCAUAAAGUAUGUCGUAGUCCGGAUUGGAGUCUGCAACUCGACUCCAUGAAGUCGGAAUCGCUAGUAAUCGUAGAUCAGAAUGCUACGGUGAAUACGUUCCCGGGCCUUGUACACACCGCCCGUCACACCAUGGGAGUGGGUUGCAAAAGAAGUAGGUAGCUUAACCUUCGGGAGGGCGCUUACCACUUUGUGAUUCAUGACUGGGGUGAAGUCGUAACAAGGUAACCGUAGGGGAACCUGCGGUUGGAUCACCUCCUUA